AGAAAAGGUGAAAGCAGGGAGCCAGGAGGCUAAUGCAACAUUCUGCUUUAAGAUAACAGUGGUUAAGGUUAAGGCUUUAAGAUAACAGUGGUUAGGGUUAAGGCAUGCGGGAAAAGUGAAAGGUUUGGGGAUGUGUGUUUCAGGUGGAGUUAAGAGGAUUUGCUGAUGGAUUGGAGGCUUGGAGCGGAAGAAAGAGGUUACAUGCAUUCACUCAUUGGACCCUCAUGAAAACCCAGUGAGAUGCGAACCCUCCUGUGAUCCUGGCAAUUGCAUCAGAAGAUGAGGAGGAAAUACACUGUGAACCUAAGGAAAGAGCAGCAGCGCUGGCAAAAGGCCACGGCCGUGCAGGAGCUCCUGGCCCCAUGGACAAAGAGGACCCGGAGGGUGCUGGGCUGAAGCUCAGGCAGCUUGGGGACGGGCAGCAGCCCCACUCCCACGCCACUUUGAGCCCGUUGCGGCUGCAGGAGCAGGAGGGCGUUUUACAAUGAAUUCCCCGCUUGCACAUGUUGCCACGGUAUCAUUUAUCAGGAAUCUGGAGUUUUUGAUGCCCUUUAAAUUUAGUGUGGAGGAAAAAAACAUCCCUAAAGCAAGGCCUCAAUCUGAAUAUUACAGAACAAUGUACUGGGGGAGAGGUGUUGUGGAAUAGUAGGCUUCACACCCAGCGUGCAGCCCGACGCGGGACUUGAACUCACGACCCUGAGAUCAAGACCUGAGCUGAGAUCAAGAGUCAGACGCUUAACCGACUGAGCCACCCAGGUGCCUCCAAACCAUGUAUGUGCAUGUGCAUAUGCAUGUAUAUAUAAAUUAGGGUGGACUUCUGUGCGGAGACCCUCUAUAAGAUGGGGGAUAGCAACGUCCCUGCCAUAGAAUUGGUGAGAGCAUAUAACAUAUGUAAGUACCUGGCACAAUGUCUGGCCACAGAAGAAGCCCUCAGAAAUGCCCACUACUAUUAUUUCAUAACACGUCCUAUUACCACAGCAUAACCCGCGGUGUAGGUGGCAUGAUGGAAAAAGGCAUGAUUAGAAAUGACACAUUCUCUGGGCGCCUGGGGGGCUCAGUUCGUUGAGCAUCUGACUCCUGAUUUCGGCUCAGGUCAUGAUCUCACUGUCAGGAGAGAGGGCUCCGUGCUGUAAGACCCCAUUGGGGAUUCUCUCUCCCUCUCCCUCUCCCUCCGCUUCUCCCCUGCACGUGCAUAUGCGCACGCACACUCGCGUACUCUCUCUCUCAAAAUAAGCAAACGUUAAAAAAUUAAAAAUUAUAGAAAAGAAAUUACAUUCUCAUUCUUUUAGAGACACGGAAAUAUCUACGAAUGCAACGAUGUGGUGUCUCUAUUUGCAUCCAAAUAAUUAUGAUGAACUGGUUAGGGUACUGAUGAGACAAGGCAGGCUGUGAAUAAUUGUUGAGACUGAGAUUAGUCCAUAAGGUAUGUCUUGUGAUUCUCUCUGCUUUUGUGUACGCUUGACAUUUCACAUAAUAAAAAACAUGUUUUUAUGGUUUUUUUUAA